UACGGGGGGGGCGAGCGUUGUUCGGAAUCACUGGGCGUAAAGGGCGCGUAGGCGGCCCGCACAAGUCUGCGGUGAAAACCCCCGGUUUAACCGGGGGCCGGCCGUGGAAACUGUCGGGCUGGAGGCUGGGAGAGGGCAGCGGAAUUCCCGGUGUAGCGGUGAAAUGCGUAGAGAUCGGGAGGAACACCGGCGGCGAAGGCGGCUGCCUGGACCAGUCCUGACGCUGAGGCGCGAAAGCUAGGGGAGCAAACAGG
rnacentral:rRNA from 1 species